UACGAAGGGGGCUAGCGUUGCUCGGAAUCACUGGGCGUAAAGCGCACGUAGGCGGAUCUUUAAGUCAGGGGUGAAAUCCCAAGGCUCAACCUUGGAACUGCCUUUGAUACUGGGGAUCUCGAGUCCGGAAGAGGUGAGUGGAACUGCGAGUGUAGAGGUGAAAUUCGUAGAUAUUCGCAAGAACACCAGUGGCGAAGGCGGCGAUCUGGGAAGAUACUGACGCUGAGGUGCGAAAGCGUGGGGAGCAAACAGG
rnacentral:rRNA from 1 species